AGAGUUUGAUCCUGGCUCAGGAUGAACGCUGGCGGCGUGCUUAAUACAUGCAAGUCGAACGGAGGACUUUUGUAGUAAUACAGGAGUUUCUCAGUGGCGAACGGGCGAGUAACGAGUUGGUGACCUGCCCCGAAGUGUGGGAUAACAGUCCGAAAGGAUUGCUAAUACCGCAUGUGAUCAUCGGUUUUAGAAUCUGAUGAUUAAAGCAGCAAUGCGCUUCGGGAGGGACCUGCUUCCCAUCAGCUAGUUGGUGAGGUAAUGGCCCACCAAGGCUACGACGGGUAAGGGACCUGAGAGGGUGGUCCCUCGCAAUGGCACUGAAACACGGGCCAUACACCUACGGGUGGCAGCAGUAGGGAAUAUUGGGCAAUGGGCGAAAGCCUGACCCAGCAACGCCGCGUGCACGAUGAAGGCCUUCGGGUCGUAAAGUGCUUUUCUGAGGAAUGAGUAAGGACAGUACCUCAGGAAUAAGCCUCGGCUAACUACGUGCCAGCAGCCGCGGUAAAACGUAGGAGGCAAGCGUUAUCCGGAUUUACUGGGCGUAAAGCGUGUGUAGGCGGUUCGGCAAGUUGGAUGUGAAAGCUCCUGGCUUAACUAGGAGAGGUCGUUCAAUACUACCGAACUUGAGGGCAUCAGAGGAAGGUGGAAUUCCCGGUGUAGUGGUGAAAUGCGUAGAGAUGUGGAGGAACACCGAUGGCGAAGGCAGCCCCCUGGGAUGACACUGACGCUCAUGCACGAAAGCGAGGGGAGCAAACAGGAUUAGAUACCCUGGUAGUCCACGCCCUAAACGAUGUCAACUAGCUGUUGGGUGCGAGAGUAUUCAGUAGCGAAGCUAACGCGUGAAGUUGACCGCCUGGGGAGUACGGCCGCAAGGUUGAAACUCAAAGGAAUUGACGGGGGCCCGCACAAGCGGUGGAUGAUGUGGAUUAAUUCGAUGCAACGCGAGGACCUUACCUGCUCUUGACAUGCCAGGAACUUGCCAGAGAUGGCUUGGAUGCCCGAAAGGGAACCUGGACACAGGUGCUGCAUGGCUGUCGUCAGCUCGUGUCGUGAGAUGUUGGGUUAGUUCCCGCAACGAAGCGCAACCCUUGCCAUAGUGCUACGAAAGGGCACUCUAAUGGGACUGCGUUGACAAUCGGAGAGGUGGGGAUGACGUCAGUCUCAUGGCCUUAAUGAGACAGGCUUCCACACCGUCAAUACCAAAUGUAUCG
rnacentral:rRNA from 1 species